GAUGAACGCUAGCUACAGGCUUAACACAUGCAAGUCGAGGGGAAACGACAGAGGAAGCUUGCUUCCUUUGGGCGUCGACCGGCGCACGGGUGAGUAACGCGUAUCCAACUUCCCGCAAGUAAGGGAUAACCCGUAGAAAUGCGGCCUAAUACCUUAUGUUUUCCUUAGAGGGCAUCUGAUGAGGAACAAAGAUCCGUCGCUUGCGGAUGGGGAUGCGACUGAUUAGCUUGUUGGCGGGGUAACGGCCCACCAAGGCUACGAUCAGUAGGGGUUCUGAGAGGAAGGUCCCCCACAUUGGAACUGAGACACGGUCCAAACUCCUACGGGAGGCAGCAGUGAGGAAUAUUGGUCAAUGGGCGGAAGCCUGAACCAGCCAAGUAGCGUGCAGGAUGACGGCCCUACGGGUUGUAAACUGCUUUUAGGCGGGGGUAAAGUGCCGGACGCGUUCCGGUAUUGCAAGUACCGCCAGAAAAAGGACCGGCUAAUUCCGUG
rnacentral:rRNA from 1 species